UAAGAGACCUGUGGACAGGUGCUGCAUGGCUGUCGUCAGCUCGUGUCGUGAGAUGUUCGGUUAAGUCCGGCAACGAGCGCAACCCACACCCUUAGUUGCCAUCAUUCAGUUGGGCACUCUAAGGGAACUGCCCGUGAUAAGCGGGAGGAAGGUGUGGAUGACGUCAAGUCCUCAUGGCCCUUACGGGUUGGGCUACACACGUGCUACAAUGGUGGUGACAAUGGGUUAAUCCCCAAAAGCCAUCUCAGUUCGGAUUGUCGUCUGCAACUCGACGGCAUGAAGUCGGAAUCGCUAGUAAUCGCGUAACAGCAUGACGCGGUGAAUACGUUCCCGGGCCUUGUACACACCGCCCGUCACACCAUGGGAGUUGGGUCUACCCGAAGGUGGUGCGCCAACCUGUUCGCAGGGGGCAGCCAACCACGGUAGGCUCAGCGACUGGGGUGAAGUCGUAACAAGGUAGCCGUAGGGGAACCUGCGGCUGGAACACCUCCUU
rnacentral:rRNA from 1 species